GACGAACGCUGGCGGCGUGCUUAACACAUGCAAGUCGAACGGAAAGGCCCUGCUUUUGUGGGGUGCUCGAGUGGCGAACGCGUGAGUAACACGUGAGUAACCUGCCCUUGACUUUGGGAUAACUUCAGGAAACUGGGGCUAAUACCGGAUAGGAUCUCCUGCUGCAUGGUGGGGGUUGGAAAGUUUCGGCGGUUGGAGAUGGACUCGCGGCUUAUCAGCUUGUUGGUGGGGUAGUGGCUUACCAAGGCUUUGACGGGUAGCCGGCCUGGGAGGGUGACCGGCCACAUGGGGACUGAGAGACGGCGCAGACGCGUACGGGAGGCAGCAGUGGGGAGUAUGACACAAUGGGCGGAAGCGUGAUGCAGCAACGCCGCGUGCGGGAUGACGGCCUUCGGGUUGUAAACCGCUUUGGCCUGUGACGAAGCGUGAGUGACGGUAAUGGGUAAAGAAGCACCGGCUAACUACGUG
rnacentral:rRNA from 1 species